rnacentral:lncRNA from 1 species
UACCAGAAAAUGUGUGGAACAAGGAUGAAACUUCUGUGUCUUAGAGUCUUCUUUAUCAUCAGUACAAAGGAGAUAAAAAGCUGCCUCAGUAGAAUGACUGGUGAUAAAAUUAAACUAUAAAACUCUCUGAACCUUGAGUUUAAAACAGGGAAGCUUCUUCCUAGGUUUCUUUCUGUUCUACAGAUUUAUUUUUUUUUUGUAACACAGAUUAUAAAGCAUAAAUGUAAUGUAGCAUAAGCUCUAUGGAGAUUGCUUUGUUUUUGCCCUGAGAGCCAGGGAGGUUCUGCUCCCUAGAAAUUGCUUUAAAUUUGUUUAAAAUUCUUUUAAAUAAGAUCUGCAUCCAGAAUAUCUGCCAUCACUGACCUCUGGUGUAAAAUGAUGUAGAAGUAUUCCAAAUAAAUAAUCAAGUUCUUCUGUAGUUGUCAAGCAGCAGGCAGCCAGACUGUGCCAUACUCUGUGUGUUCUUCUUUCGAGGGAAGCCUUGGAAGAGGGUCCUUGACUGAGGUCUAAGCAAGAAGAAACAGUAAAAAGAACAAAGUCUCCAAUGCUCAUGAAAAAAAGUGGCCUUUUAUCAAACCUGCAGAGAAAUUAAAUUUUUCAACUUCUGAAGGAUUAUUAACUUCAAAGUCUGAAGAAAUGUCGGCCUUCUAUGCUUGGAAAUGCCAGCAGCUUUUGCAUAUCCCCACCACAGUACCAAGAAACCCCCAGCAGAGAGAAACGAUUACUGCCUCCAUGGCAUAAGGAUGGCUUUUGAUCUCCUAACAUAUUGGAAAUUACUUAAAGAAUUUAUUACUGAAGACUUUUAAUAUGACAGAAAUCUUUCUCAUUACCAUUAAGAGAUUCUGCUUAGUCAACAGAUAUUCAUGGCCUUACAUGGAUCAGUAUUUAACAACUGUGGUUACAUGCCAACUCAGUAAUACACAUAUAUGGCUUUUAGUACCACAGCACUCAGCUGCCCCCUUCAACAAGGAAUGCUGCAAGCUGCAGAGCCAUGCUGACUAUCCUUAUAGCUCAAAGAAUCAACACAAAGAAGAACUUUGGCAAAAAGGAAUGUGUUUUUGCUUUUUCCUCGGUCCACAAGACAUGGUAACCUGA